rnacentral:rRNA from 1 species
UACGUAGGGGGCAAGCGUUGUCCGGAUUUAUUGGGCGUAAAGAGCGUGUAGGCGGCUAGAUAGGUCCGUUGUGAAAACUCGAGGCUCAACCUCGAGACGUCGAUGGAAACCAUCUGGCUAGAGUCCGGAAGAGGAGAAUGGAAUUCCCGGUGUAGCGGUGAAAUGCGCAGAUAUCGGGAAGAACACCCGUGGCGAAGGCGGUUCUCUGGGACGGUACUGACGCUGAGACGCGAAAGCGUGGGGAGCGAACAGG